GAUGAAGAACGUAGCGAAAUGCGAUAAGUAAUGUGAAUUGCAGAAUUCAGUGAAUCAACGAAUCUUUGAACGCAUCUUGCGCUCCUUGGUAUUCUGAGGAGCAUGCCUGUUUGAGUGUCAUUAAAUUCUCAACUACACUGACUUUGAAUUGGUGUGGCUUGGAUUUGGGGGGGAAAAUUGUUGUGGGCUUUUUGUAUAGUCUGCUCCCCUGAAAUUGAUUAGCGGUACCUUUGUGGAACUGUCUACAGGUGUGAUAAUUAUCUACAUCCUAGACAUCUGCUGGAAUGCUGCUUUCUAAACCUUACUUGUAUUGACAAUCUUGACCUCAAAUCAGGUAGGACUACCCGCUGAACUUAAGCAUAUCAAUAAGCGGAGGA
rnacentral:misc_RNA from 1 species